UAACAAAAUCAGAAAAUUUAUUGCUUUGGAAGACAAAUUACUUAUCCAAUUAUAUACAAAGAUAAUAUAGAUAUAAAUAUAUUAACAAGAAAUAUAUUUCUAUAAAACAUAAUUCAAAAACUUAACUCAUUAUCACAUGACUAAGUUCUAUUUAAUGGUGGGAAAACAAGAUUUAAAUAUCAUUUUGACCAACAAGAUUUAAAUAUCAGUUGGACCAAUUCUAAAAAGGGAAAAAAUGCUUGACUUUGGUAUGGUUCUUUCAAGAACAUCUUCAACUUAAACAAGGUAUAAGAUAGAUUUCGUUAUGAUGUGAUUUAAGUCUGAGUUAUUUCUCUUGGCCGCCAUUUUGGAGUGUAAAUAUUUGAUUUUUUAUUUGACUAAUCUAAUUGAAACAUGCAGUACAAACAAGU